rnacentral:rRNA from 1 species
GAAUAUUGGACAAUGGGCGCAAGCCUGAUCCAGCCAUGCCGCGUGUGUGAAGAAGGCCUUCGGGUUGUAAAGCACUUUCAGCGAGGAGGAAGGGAGUAGUGUUAAUAGUACUAUUUCUUGACGUUACUCGCAGAAGAAGCACCGGCUAACUCCGUGCCAGCAGCCGCGGUAAUACGGAGGGUGCAAGCGUUAAUCGGAAUUACUGGGCGUAAAGCGCACGUAGGCGGUUUGUUAAGUUGGAUGUGAAAGCCCCGGGCUCAACCUGGGAAUUGCAUUCAAGACUGGCAAGCUAGAGUAUGUGAGAGGGGGGUAGAAUUCCAAGUGUAGCGGUGAAAUGCGUAGAGAUUUGGAGGAAUACCAGUGGCGAAGGCGGCCCCCUGGCACAAUACUGACGCUCAGGUGCGAAAGCGUGGGGAGCAAACAGG